rnacentral:rRNA from 1 species
GAUGAACGCUAGCUACAGGCUUAACACAUGCAAGUCGCAGGGUAACAUGAGGAAAGCUUGCUUUCCUUGAUGACGACUGGCGCACGGGUGAGUAACGCGUAUCCAACCUUCCCAUAACUACGGGAUAACCCGUUGAAAGACGGCCUAAUACCGUAUGAUAUCGUUUGCUGACAUCAAAUAACGAUUAAAGGUUUAGCGGUUAUGGAUGGGGAUGCGUCUGAUUAGCUUGUUGGCGGGGUAACGGCCCACCAAGGCGACGAUCAGUAGGGGUUCUGAGAGGAAGGUCCCCCACAUUGGAACUGAGACACGGUCCAAACGCCUACGGGAGGAAGCAGUGAGGAAUAUUGGUCAAUGGGCGAGAGCCUGAACCAGCCAAGUAGCGUGCAGGACGACGGCCCUAUGGGUUGUAAACUGCUUUUAUGUGGGGAUAAAGUGCGUGACGUGUCAUGCAUUGCAGGUACCACAUGAAUAAGGACCGGCUAAUUCCGUG